GGGGUGUAUAGCUCAGUGGUCGAGCAUUCGACUGUAGAUCGGGAUGUCCCCGGUUGGAACCCGGGUGCCCCCA
rnacentral:tRNA from 1 species